rnacentral:rRNA from 1 species
AUGGCAGUGGCGGCGGCGGCUGCGAUGCGGGCGGUGCUGGCGCGGCCGGGGCGCCCGGCGGAGCAGUCCGGGCGGGCGGCGGAGGCGGUGCGGGUGGUGGCGAUCAGGAAGACCAAGCCGGUGUCCCUGCUGCGGCAGCUCUACAACGGUGGCCACCGCUGCUUCGGCGAGAACUAUGUCCAGGAGUUCGUCACCAAGGCGCCGUAG